rnacentral:tRNA from 1 species
CAAAAGGUAGUUUAUUUUAAAAUAUUAGUUUUGGAGACUGUUGAUGAGUUUAUACUUUCUUUUGA